rnacentral:lncRNA from 1 species
AAACCUGCGAGCUUCACUGUCGUCUCGCUUGCCCCUGAUCGUCUCGCAAGUUUUUUUCUUUCUUUCUUUUUCAUGGGCUUUUCUUGGUUCAGGCGCUGAAAGUGAGAGUUGGAGGAAUACAAACUGAUGGGUGCAUGUUUGAAACACGCAUGGUCACUGAUUCAGCUUGUUUUUCUCCAAUAUCUCACCUUCAGUCAAGUGCUUGAUGUCUUGGUGUGGUAUGAGUUUAGUUGUCUGCAUCAUGUGAGCAGCAUUGGCUAUAGGAGCGUGUGUGUCUUCUGCAUGGGCCACUUGGGUUGAGGAUUAGAGGGAACCGAAACCACAUCCAUGGGAGUAGAAACAAGUGGUGAGGGUUCAGUUUCCUCUAAUAUCUCACCUUGAAUGUUCCAUUAUUACAGAAACGAUUUUAGCACUGGCAAAUACAGAACUACACAUACAGUAACAAGCAUUGAAGCAGGCUUAUGGUUC